rnacentral:rRNA from 1 species
CCUACGGGGGGCAGCAGUGGGGAAUCUUCCGCAAUGGGCGCAAGCCUGACGGAGCAAUGCCGCGUGAACGAAGAAGGUCUUCGGAUUGUAAAGUUCUGUCCUUAUCGAAGAGAGAGUAUAGAGUGAAAAAUGAUAUACUAGGACGGUAGAUGAGGAGGAAGCCCCGGCUAACUACGUGCCAGCAGCCGCGGUAAUACGUAGGGGGCGAGCGUUGUCCGGAAUCACUGGGCGUAAAGGGUGCGCAGGCGGCCUGUUAAGUCAGCGGUAAAAGCCCGGGGCUCAACCCCGGCGAGCCGUUGAAACUGGCGGGCUGGAGUUGGAGAGAAGUACGCGGAAUGCGCGGUGUAGCGGUGAAAUGCUUAGAUAUCGCGCAGAACCCCGAUUGCGAAGGCAGCGUACCGGCUCCACACUGACGCUGAGGCACGAAAGCGUGGGUAUCGAACAGGAUUAGAUACCCGAGUAGUC